AAGCAGGAAGGAGCAUCCGAGGAGGAUAUUAAUAUCCUAUCAAAAUACAUGUUUCGGACAAUGGGUGAUGCAGACAAGCUGGUUGCUGGAAUUGCAGCACCGGUUUGUGGAGUAACGACCGAGUGUGGCACCGACCCUCCCAUUGAGCACAUUCUUUCAGCUGAGGAUGCUGAGUGUUGCAUCUGCCUAUGCCCGUAUGAAGAUGGUGUUGAGCUGCGAGAACUCCCCUGUAAUCAUCAUUUCCACUGCACCUGCAUAGAGAAGUGACUUCACAUAAUCGCGACAUGUCCACUAUGCAAGUUUAACAUCGUCAAGUGCAACCUUGGUAGCGAAGAGGUUUAG
rnacentral:rRNA from 1 species